AAGGGUGACGAAGCGACGCCGCGUGUGGGAAGAAGGCCUUCGGGUUGUAAACCACUGUCGGGAGUUAGGAAAUGCAGGUGCGUUAAUAGCGCACUUGCUUGACUAAGGCUCCAGAGGAAGCCACGGCUAACUCUGUGCCAGCAGCCGCGGUAAUACAGAGGCGGCAAGCGUUGUUUGGAAUUAUUGGGCGUAAAGAGCACGUAGGCGGCCUUGCAAGUCAGUUGUGAAAGCCUUCCGCUUAACGGAAGAACGGCAUCUGAUACUACAGGGCUUGAGUACGGGAGGGGAGAGUGGAACUUCUGGUGGAGCGGUGAAAUGCGUAGAUAUCAGAAGGAACGCCGGCGGCGAAAGCGACUCUCUGGUCCGAAACUGACGCUGAGUGUGCGAAAGCUAGGGGAGCAAACGGGAUUAGAUACCCCGGUAGUCCUAGCCAUAAACGAUGGGCACUAAGUAGAGGGGUCU
rnacentral:rRNA from 1 species